CGGGGCGUAGCGCAGCUUGGUAGCGCAUCUGCUUUGGGAGCAGAGGGUCCUGGGUUCGAAUCCCAGCGCUCCGACCA
rnacentral:tRNA from 2 species